GCUGCUGUGGCUCAAUGUAGAGUGCCCUCUCAAUCUAUCAAACAGACCACCACGAUGUUAGGCAGGCGUGGGUUCGAAUCCCACCUGCAGCA